UACAGAGGGUGCAAGCGUUGUUCGGAAUUAUUGGGCGUAAAGCGCGUGUAGGCGGCUUUGCAAGUCGGGUGUGAAAGCCCUCAGCUCAACUGAGGAAGUGCGCCCGAAACUGCAGAGCUUGAGUGCCGGAGAGGGUGGCGGAAUUCCCCAAGUAGAGGUGAAAUUCGUAGAUAUCGGGAGGAACACCGGUGGCGAAGGCGACCCGCUGGCCAGCGACUGACACUGAGACGCGAAAGCGUGGGGAGCAAACAGG
rnacentral:rRNA from 1 species